rnacentral:rRNA from 1 species
GACGAACGCUGGCGGCGUGCUUAACACAUGCAAGUCGAACGAAGAGCGCUGGAAGCUUGCUUCUAUCAAUCUUAGUGGCGAACGGGCGAGUCACGCGUAAUCAACCUGCCCUUCAGAGGGGGUCAACAGUUGGAAACGACUGCUAAUACCGCAAACGAUCCAAUCUCGGCAUCGGGACUGGAUGAAAGGUGGCCUCUAUUUAUAAGCUCUCACUGAAGGAGGGGAUUGAGACUGAUUAGCUAGUUGGAGGGGUAACGGCCCACCAAGGCGAUGAUCAGUAGCCGGUCUGAGAGGAGGAACGGCCACAUUGGGACUGGGGCACGACCCAGACUCCUACGGGAGGCACAAGGGGGGAAUCUUCCGGAAUGGACGAAAGGCUGACGGAGCAACGCCGCGUGAGUGAUGACUGCCUUCGGGUUGUAAAGCUCUGUUAGUCGGGACGAAUGGUUCUUGUGCGAAUAGUGCGAGGAUUUGACGGUACCGGAAGAGAAAGCCACGGCUAACUACGUG